ACUGGAGUUUGUAUCCUGGCUCAUAUUGAACGCUGGCGGAAUGCUUUACACAUGCAAGUCGAACGGUAGAGGGGGCAACCCCCUCGAGAGUGGCGAACGGGUGAGUAAUAUAUCGGAACGUGCCCAGUCGUGGGGGAUAACGUAGUGAAAACUUACGCUAAUACCGCAUACGAUCUAAGGAUGAAAGCGGGGGUAUCGCAAGACCUCGCGCGACUGGAGCGGCCGAUAUCAGAUUAGGUAGUUGGUAGGGUAAACGGCCUACCAAGCCAACGAUCUGUAGCUGGUCUGAGAGGACGACCAGCCAC
rnacentral:rRNA from 1 species